AAGACUAUAGACCUGCGGAGUACCUGCGGAGGGAUCAUUAAUGAAAUCAUAUUCUCCUUUGGAGUUUCUUCUAGCUGAUGCGUCUUUUGGCUGCACGCUGUUGUCACUCUUUAGGGGUUAUAUUUCCACAAACCCUUCUGUGCAUAUUGGGAGGCUUUAUUGUCCUCUCCUAAUUCAUAUACUCUAAUGUUUAAUCAUGUCAUACAAUGUUAAAUACAUUAAACAACUUUUAACAAUGGA
rnacentral:misc_RNA from 1 species